AUGUUAAUGCUGUCUAUGACUGGGGUUCAUACGUAAUACAGACCCCAACAUGUCAGCGUUACCAC